rnacentral:rRNA from 1 species
GUAGAACGCUGAAGGAGGAGCUUGCUUCUCUGGAUGAGUUGCGAACGGGUGAGUAACGCGUAGGUAACCUGCCUGGUAGCGGGGGAUAACUAUUGGAAACGAUAGCUAAUACCGCAUAAUAGCAGUUGUUGCAUGACAACUGCUUGAAAGGUGCAAUUGCACCACUACCAGAUGGACCUGCGUUGUAUUAGCUAGUUGGUGGGGUAACGGCUCACCAAGGCGACGAUACAUAGCCGACCUGAGAGGGUGAUCGGCCACACUGGGACUGAGACACGGCCCAGACUCCUACGGGAGGCAGCAGUAGGGAAUCUUCGGCAAUGGACGGAAGUCUGACCGAGCAACGCCGCGUGAGUGAAGAAGGUUUUCGGAUCGUAAAGCUCUGUUGUAAGAGAAGAACGAGUGUGAGAGUGGAAAGUUCACACUGUGACGGUAUCUUACCAGAAAGGGGCGGCUAACUACGUGCCAGCAGCCGCGGUAAUACGUAGGUCCCGAGCGUUGUCCGGAUUUAUUGGGCGUAAAGCGAGCGCAGGCGGUUAGAUAAGUCUGAAGUUAAAGGCUGUGGCUUAACCAUAGUACGCUUUGGAAACUGUUUAACUUGAGUGCAAGAGGGGAGAGUGGAAUUCCAUGUGUAGCGGUGAAAUGCGUAGAUAUAUGGAGGAAC